UGCUGGGAUAGCUCAGUUGGUAGAGCAUGAGUCUUUUAAUCUCAGAAUCUUGGGUUCAAGCCCCACAUUGGGCAA